CCUACGGGUGGCAGCAGUAGGGAAUAUUGCUCAAUGGGGGAAACCCUGAAGCAGCAACGCCGCGUGGAGGAUGACGGUCCUCGGAUUGUAAACUCCUUUUGUUAGAGGAGUUAAUGACGGUAUCUAACGAAUAAGCACCGGCUAACUCCGUGCCAGCAGCCGCGGUAAUACGGAGGGUGCAGGCGUUACUCGGAAUCACUGGGCGUAAAGAGCGCGUAGGCGGGAUAGCAAGUCAGAUGUGAAAUCCUAUGGCUUAACCAUAGAACUGCAUUUGAAACUGUUAUUCUAGAGUAUGGGAGGGGUAGGUGGAAUUCUUGGUGUAGGGGUAAAAUGCGUAGAGAUCAAGAGGAAUACUCAUUGCGAAGGCGACCUGCUAGAACAUAACUGACGCUGAUGCGCGAAAGCGUGGGGAGCAAACAGGAUUAGAUACCCUGGUAGUC
rnacentral:rRNA from 1 species